GCGUUCAUAGCUCAGUUGGUUAGAGCACCACCUUGACAUGGUGGGGGUCGUUGGUUCGAGUCCAACUUGAACGCACCA
rnacentral:tRNA from 1 species